UUUUACUUCAGGUGUCCCAGUUGUCCCACAAAGGUUUUGUGUGGUCUGUAUCAGUUUAGCCCUCACAGAGUACAAGUCUGUAAUACGGGGAAAGGCUGUAGGAUGGAUUGGUGAAAACAAACUCUCUCAUUCCACUGUUGCCCAGGGAUACAGACAAACAUAGGAUGAAAAAAAAUGUCCUUCAUGUGAGUAGGGAACAGGUUCAUCACUGGAGCUGGAUUGUGGCUGAGGUCAGGCUGAGCCCAGGAUCUCCUGCAGUGGGGUCAGGUGUCCCCAUGAGCGGCCAACACUCAAGUUCACUUUUAGGGGCACCUGUGGGGUGACAACCAGAAAUGAGCUCCAAGGAGAAACCCAGCCACCUCCCAGGUCCCAUGCAGGUUGAUGAGGAAGCAGUACUUACGGACACACACUUCUACAGAGAGAGCAGCCACACAUUCCAGCAUACAUAUGGACACACACAUCUCAGAAUGUAGCUUAAAGGACCCUCAG
rnacentral:lncRNA from 1 species